rnacentral:lncRNA from 1 species
CUACAAAUGAGUCAACAAGAUCAAAAUGGUCUGUUGAUCCCUUUAGGAGUUAUUGCCCUUUAUAGUCAAUUUUUAACCAUUUUUCGUAAAUCUUAGUUAUCUUUUGCAAAAAUCUUCUCCUCUGAAACUACUGGGCCAAAUUAAACCAAACUUGGCCACAAUCAUCAUUGGAGUAUCUAGUUUAAAAAUUGUGUCCGGUGACCCGGCCAACCAACCAAGAUGGCCGCCAUGGCUAAAAAUAGAACAUAGG